GGCGAAAGCGGAUCGUUGAAUGAAACGGAUGAACCAGAAUUGUCUCUAGUUUGGGAUCCUUGUGCAGUCUUGCCACAGUGAAACCUACAGCAGGCUGCCAUUAAGACACAUGAAGAGUUACCAGAAAUCAGUUGAUUACUAUUUCAAGAGCAAUUUUUACAAUUCUAACAAGCUUGAAAGUCAAUAUUUGGUAAGCACCUAUAAUCUUUAACACAACCUGAACUCUCUUAGGCAAGUUUUCUUGUAAGUUCUCUUCUACUUCUUCUGACUUCUUGAAGGACAUUUAAAACCUUUUGUUCUUUUCUUUGUCAGGAUGAUCCCACACUGCUUCAAUAAUGUUACUGGGGAGGCCAAACCAUGACUCAUAAUGUUCAACUGUACGUUUCCAAUCCAGGUAUGCAGUGUGUUUGGAAUCAUUGCCAUGCUAAUAAAUGAAGCUGUUACCAAUCAGAUUCUUUCUAGAUGUUACUGCAUAGUGAACUGAAAUCUGAUGGUUCUAUGUGUUCAUAUUUCCACCAGUUUUCACAAGAUCAACACCACUGGCUGAAAUGGAGCCUCAAGCCAUGACAGAGCCUCCACCUCUUUUAGAAGAGACACCCACUGUUGCACCUCACUCUGGACCUCCUCCAUACAUAUCGACGAUGAUUUGAACCAAACAUUUCAAACUUGGAUUUGUCACUUCAUAAAAAUUGUUAGCACUGAU